rnacentral:tRNA from 1 species
CAGAAAUUAGUUUAUUAAAAAUAUUGGUUUUGGGGACUAAAGAUGGGUUUUACUGUUUCUGA